UACGUAGGGUGCGAGCGUUAAUCGGAAUUACUGGGCGUAAAGCGUGCGCAGGCGGUUUUGUAAGACAGGUGUGAAAUCCCCGGGCUUAACCUGGGAACUGCAUUUGUGACUGCGAGGCUAGAGUGUAGCAGAGGGGGGUAGAAUUCCACGUGUAGCAGUGAAAUGCGUAGAUAUGUGGAGGAAUACCGAUGGCGAAGGCAGCCCCCUGGGCUAACACUGACGCUCAUGCACGAAAGCGUGGGGAGCAAACAGG
rnacentral:rRNA from 1 species